UCCGGCUUAACGCCGGCAGUCUCGCUAGAGUUCCCGGCAUGACCCGCUGGCAACUAACGACAAGGGUUUCGCUCGUUAAGGGACUUAACCCGACACUUCACAGCACGAGCUGACGACAGCCAUGCAGCACCUGUGCACGUUUCACCCGAAGGCAGCUUACUCGUGUUUCCACAAGGGCAUCCGUGCAUGUCAAACCCAGGUAAGGUUCUUCGCGUUGCUUCGAAUUAAUCCACAUGCUCCACCGCUUGUGUGAGCCCCCGUCAAUUCCUUUGAGUUUUAGCCUUGCGGCCGUACUCCCCAGGCGGCGCACUUAACACUUUUGCUCCGGCACGAACACCGUCAGAGGUCCUCGUACCUAGUGCGCAUCGUUUACGGCGUAGACUAC
rnacentral:misc_RNA from 1 species